rnacentral:rRNA from 1 species
GACGAAUGCUGGCGGCGUGCUUAACACAUGCCAGUCGAACGGAAAGGCCCUGCUUUUGUGGGGUGCUCGAGUGGCGAACGGGUGAGUAACACGUGAGUAACCUGCCCUUGACUUUGGGAUAACUUCAGGAAACUGGGGCUAAUACCGGAUAGGAGCUCCUGCUGCAUGGUGGGGGUUGGAAAGUUUCGGCGGUUGGGGAUGGACUCGCGGCUUAUCAGCUUGUUGGUGGGGUAGUGGCUUACCAAGGCUUUGACGGGUAGCCGGCCUGAGAGGGUGACCGGCCACAUUGGGACUGAGAUACGGACCAGACUCCUACGGGAGGCAGCAGUGGGGAAUAUUGCACAAUGGGCGGAAGCCUGAUGCAGCAACGCCGCGUGCGGGAUGACGGCCUUCGGGUUGUAAACCGCUUUCGCCUGUGACGAAGCGUGAGUGACGGUAAUGGGUAAAGAAGCACCGGCUAACUACGUG